rnacentral:lncRNA from 1 species
GCGGCGGGCCCGGGGGCGCGGAGCCCGGAGCUGGCGGCCCUGGGCGCCCCGCGCCCCCGCGCCCGCCGCCGCCUCGCCCUGACCCCGGGCCGGCCGCCGAGGGGAGGGGGCGGCGCCCCGCUGCCCGGGAUCCUGCCUCUCGAUUCUCUUGUUGUUGUUGUUAAUUUUGUAAGAAAUGGUAUUUAUAUGUAAAGCUUCCCUCUGUACAGAGCUAGGUGUUCGUCGUGGUUCAGCGUCGGGAGGCGCUCCGGCUCUGGGCUCCCCCGCCGCCGGGUGGGCCCGCGGCCCCGCCGGUGCUUCCGGACCCCGAGUCCGUCUCAGGACAGAGGCGGGGGGGCCCCCCUCUGGUGCUCCGGGGCCGCCCUGCGCCCGCCCGCCCGCAGCUUAGCAGCUGGAAGGACAGAGGCUGCCGAACGACCCUUUCCUAGCUGCAGUUGGGGGGUCUUCUUCAGGGAAAUUGAAGGUGCUCUUGUCCGGGGUGGGGACGGGGAGCAGGGGUCCCCGAGGGCGAGGCGGGCGCAGACACCGGGCAGCUGCCCCAAGCGCCCCUCGCCGCGGCCGGAUCCCGGGCCCCACGACCACGCCGGUGGGAUUCCUCAUUGCUCAGGACUGGGACGGGCGCAGGCGGGUCACGGUGACCCCCGCCCCUAACCACCAGAGGUGGGCCGGCACCUGUAGCAUCUGGCGGGCCUCCCACUCAUGCAGCUAAGACCCUCCCUCCUCGCCUGGGGGGAGGGGCGGGGCAGCGGGCGUCAGCACGGGUGACACUACAGGGACCGCUGAGGAAACCUCAUGGAAUUAGCAGAGCCUGGAGCUCCGGUCACUCUGCCCCUGCUGCAGGCUGGCCGGGUACCUGUUCCCGCGGGCUGGAGCCCAGGAGGGCGCACCUCGGCCUGCCUGGUGCCUCCCAGAGCCCAGCCUCGCCCGGUGAAAGGGGGGCUCGGUUCCUCACAAACGGAAGAGCAGCCAGCGCCGGGGUGCUGGGCCCGCAGGGGGUCUCAGCCACCCAGGUGGUGGGAACGGAAAGAUGCGACUGUUUGGGGCUUUAAUAUUCAAAAUGGAAAAAAAUGCGAGAAAGUUGUACAGUAUUUUUCCUGUGAAGGUUAUUAUUCUACAUAGAACAAAAAGGAAAAACAGCAGGCGGGCAGCGAGCGCCCAGACCCGCCUCCGGACCAGCCCUGAGGUUGGAGACCCAGUGCAAUUGCUCACGUGGGCGUGUUUAGCAUUCAGUGUAGAGGCCUUGCCCCUUUGAGGCUGGCUGUCUUUACACUAGCACUGAUGGGAGCUGCGUGAUUCCAACUUUUAACUUGAAUUUUGUAGAGACAAGAAAAAAGGACUAUUACUGUUGAUACAAGUUUGUAGUUAAUUUAACAUUUGAGUUUUUCUCUAUUGGUUAUGCGUGUGGCUUUAAUAGGGCUUUUUUUUUUCCAGUUUGUUUUAUUAUUUUGUUUGGGAUGCUUCUUUACUAGUGCAACCCACCCAGAUUUGGUUCCCUUUUCAAAACAUCCCCCCUUCCUGGAGACGAUGAGGUCACUGAAGCCUAGAUGGGGGACACCUGGCAGGCACAUGCCCGGCCAGUGGCUCUGAGGGUGACAGGGACUAAGGGCAGGCUGCCCAACGCUUCUCCUAUUCGCCUUCUCCCCACUCCAGGCUACUAGCCCGUCUCAGGUUGGACCCUGAGAUGCGGCCACAGGGAGAGAGCAAGGCCCAGCCUGGCGGAGAGACAGACCGUCACCUGGAGCCACCUCCCCGCAGAUCUCCGUGGGGAGCCCGACCCCACCCGACCCGCCUGGGGGACAGUGGUUUACUUUUUCUUUUUUCUUUCUUUUUUUUUGUCCUCUUGGCUGCCCACAGCCAGAAAGCCAGGACCAUCUGAACUGGAGAGGGAGCAGGGAGGGAGGAGUGGUCAGACGGAGUGUACCUGAUUCAACAGGAAACCAGUCGAUUUCUAAAACAGCCCCUGCCAGAGCCUCCGAACUCUGCGGGCACCACGUGCUGCUGCUGUGCACGCGCCCAGACUCCGUGCCCUCCGCGAACCGCUGAGUCUGUGCAAGGAGUUUUGUAAAGGAAAAAAAACAUUUUUCAAUGUAGCAAAAUCAAACAAAAAAAAGAAAAAAAGAAGACGCCUACAGUGCGAAGUCUAGCCUUUUGUAACCUUCAUAUUGCACACUAGGACUAUAAGCCAUUGCUAGCUCAUUUUGAAUUUUAAUGUGUAAUUUUUUGUUUUAUUUUCUUUCUGUGGGGAAAACAAUGCUUGAUCCACCAAUGCUCUUUUUAAUGUUUUAUAACUAUGUAUGUGUAUAUAUAUAAAUAUAAAAUAAUAUGUAUGCACAUAUGUGUGUGUAUAUAUCUAUAUGUAUAUACAUAUAUAGAUAUAUAGAGAUAUAUAGAGAGGUUUUGAGACAAAAAAAUGCAGAACGUGAGAACCGGACUGAACAGCGUGCGCUCUGAUUACUUGAAUCUGGUCUCCUCGGCACCUGGUUAUUAAGAACUGAAUAUUUUUCCACUUGAAUUUAGUGCUAUUAGAAAUUUAAUAUAUGUGUUUUAUUUAUUUGAUUUUUUUUUUGCAUGACUGAUGCAAGGUUUGACAUUUUCACUCAAUAAAAACUGGAAAAAAUCUAUCAAGUUAUCUUUUAUUUUUAAAAUCAGCCCCAAGCGGCUGGCGGUGACCCAGCUGUGCAAGGCGGCACAGCCACAGCCGAGCUCCGAGUGCCAGGCAGGGAGGGAGGAGGUCACCCUUCAAACCUGGCAGGGAAGGGGGCAAACCAGUUUCACCCCUGGGAACGGGCCAAGUUCUCCUGGGUUGCUGGGGACAGACAGUGGGGGGCUUGGGCCCUGCCUGGCUGAAGGGUGGCCGCCUCCCCCCACCCUGCCUGAAGCCCUCGAGUGAGGCUCGGGAGCCGCCUGUGGGCAGAGCCACUGGCAUAGAAGCCUCAGGGAAAGGCUCCACGGGCCCCCCCCCCCCCCCCCCAGGCCCCGGCCAGCCCCCUUCUCUCACAGCAGGGCUACUGGGCAGGCGCUUGGCAGGGGCAUCCCUCUGCCUCCUCCCUCGGCUCCUUCCUCCUUCCUGCAGGGACCUGCCCGGGCUGGGAACGGCGCGUACCCGGAUCUGAUCCGGAUGCUGGCUCGGCUCCUGCCUGGAGCACAUCAGGGU